CAUUACCUGCAUUAAGUUGACCCAGUCUUGGGAUGCUAGAUUACCUACUAAUUAAAGAGGGAGGAAUAUGUGCAGUUGAUGAUACUUCUUGAUGCACAUAGAUAAAUAUGUUGGUUUGUAGAUCCAUUCACUUGGUUAAAAUGGAUAGGCUCUUUGCCUGGCUGUUAGAUUUUAGUUAGUGUGAUCAUGGGAAUCCUGGCUAAGGAGUAUACUCCAAACUCUCUGUAUUAUCAUCCUGAUAGUCAGAAUAGUAGUCUUGCUGGUGUGCUGUGUUCUCUCAAAACAUUUUAAAUAUUUCCAUAUGGCCAUCUGUCAAAUGGUCUUUCUCCAGCUAAAACAACAAAAACUCAAAUAAAUGUAUGAUAAUGAUGAUGAUGUCAGAAUGGUUAAAUGUCAUUCUGAGACUAGAAACCUGAAAUGAUGCUAACUGAGAGUAGCACUGAUACCCAAGGUUUUGGUGACAAUCUCACUUAAGGGACAGCCUAACCAAAGUGGGGAAUUGUGAAAAUUAUGGGAGGUCAUUGUUUUUCAUUAAGCCCCAACAGACCACACUAAAAAUCAAAAUAGAGUAACCCAUGCUAAAGUUCCACAUCACCAAACCUAAACUAUAUUGUCAUCAGAUUGUCUCAGAAUUCAGAAUAGAGAGAUCACAGUUAUUUCCCAAACAGGCCAGUUUAAAUUUUCAGUGAGCAAGAACUCUCUACAUUAACCCAUACACAAAUAAAAGUAGCCUGAGGUAACAUGAUGUUAAUUAAUCAGCUAUUUUUUGUUUGUUUGUUUGUUUUUCUCCCUGGCACUGCCUUAGAAGGAAAAGUAACUUUGAAAAGUAACUAAUAGACUCAUGAUUCUUUGCUUCUGUUUUCUUCAGCCUAUCAUUGUCUAUUAAAUCGAAAAUUCUUCUGUUCAACUCACUGGAACACAUAUUCUAUUUUGUGGAAUUAAGUAUUGUCUGAUUCUAGAAUUGCUAAUGAAGCCAAAUUUAAAUUAAAUUUGUUAUAAUUAUGCCUUUUGAUACAAGCUGCCACAUUGGAGAACAAAUUUCAACAUUUAAACCACAGAAUUCUAUGCUUGGCUCUCAAAACUUAUGUCUAAUUUGUAGCAGCCCAACAGGUUCAUCCUGCCUGCUGCCCAGAAAAGCCAAUGCACUGAGAACAGCAGGUAUUGCAUCAAAGAAAGGGUUUAAUUAUUGCAGGUCCAACCAAGCAGCAUGAUGGGAGACAUUUCUGAAACCAGCCACCCCAAAAGCAUUUGGCUAGGAUUUUCUAAGAUAACUUAGUGGCCAGGAGCUAGGAAUGAGUGCUACUGAUUGGUUGGGCAUGAAAUCACAGGAGUAUUCAAACUGUUUUCAUGCUCUGGAUCAACUUCUGGAUAGGAGUCAGUUCCUUGGUAUGAGUCAUGGGUCUGGGUUGGAGUCAGUUGGUCACCAGAAUGCAAAAGUCUAAAAAAAUAAUCUCAAAGGUUAAUCUUAGAUUUCAACAAUUGCUCCUUAUCUAUAGGAGCAAUUGGGGAAGAUACAAAUUUUGUGACUUCUGGAACAAUGGCUAGCUAUUGUUUAACUGCGCCUCUAUCUUAUCAGAAUACAGGCUCCUCCUAUGAUCCUAAACUCAUGGCCUUUCAUUAGUCUUAUAAAGGGAGUUUCCAUCCCCCAACAAGGAGUGGGUUAGUUUUGGAAAAAGAACUGUCUUAAGUUAACAAAGGCAGUUCGCUUGUGAGGUUAGAAGCAAGACAGAGUUAGUUAGAUUUCUCUCACUGUUACAAUUUUUGCAAAGGUAGUUUCAUUUUCAUAUGCAAAAUACAAUCACUGCAUCCCAAUAUUCCCCACAUCUUAACUCAUUUUAACAUCAACUCAAAAGCUCAAACUCCAAAGUAUCUUCUGAAACUCAAGGCAAAUUCCUUCUAGCCUGUAAAAAAAAAAAAACAAAAACAAAAA
rnacentral:lncRNA from 1 species